rnacentral:rRNA from 1 species
GAUAGGUCAAGCUAAUAAGAGCGCAAGGGGAAUGCCUUGGCAUCAGGAGCCGAUGAAGGACGUGGCAAGCUGCGAUAAGCUUCGGGGAGGCGCAAACAGCCUUUGAUCCGGAGAUUUCCGAA